GCCUGGGUGGCUUGGUCGGUUAAGCGUCUGACUUCGGCUCAGGUCAUGAUCUCGCGGUUCGUGGGUUCGAGCCCCGCAUCGGGCU
rnacentral:tRNA from 1 species